rnacentral:rRNA from 1 species
UACGGAGGGUGCUAGCGUUGUUCGGAAUCACUGGGCGGAAAGCGCGUGUAGGCGGUCCGUUAAGUCUGAUGUGAAAGCCCGGGGCUCACCCCCGGAAGUGCAUUGGAAACUGACGAACUCGAGUCCCGGAGAGGAGGGUGGAAUUCCUGGUGUAGCGGUGAAAUGCGUAGAUAUCAGGAGGAACACCGGUGGCGAAGGCGGCCCUCUGGACGGUGACUGACGCUGAGACGCGAAAGCGUGGGGAGCAAACAGG